GAUGAACGCUGGCGGCGUGCCUAAUACAUGCAAGUCGAGCGAACGGACGAGAAGCUUGCUUCUCUGAUGUUAGCGGCGGACGGGUGAGUAACACGUGGAUAACCUACCUAUAAGACUGGGAUAACUUCGGGAAACCGGAGCUAAUACCGGAUAAUAUUUUGAACCGCAUGGUUCAAAAGUGAAAGAUGGUCUUGCUGUCACUUAUAGAUGGAUCCGCGCUGCAUUAGCUAGUUGGUAAGGUAACGGCUUACCAAGGCAACGAUGCAUAGCCGACCUGAGAGGGUGAUCGGCCACACUGGAACUGAGACACGGUCCAGACUCCUACGGGAGGCAGCAGUAGGGAAUCUUCCGCAAAGGGCGAAAGCCUGACGGAGCAACGCCGCGUGAGUGAUGAAGGUCUUCGGAUCGUAAAACUCUGUUAUUAGGGAAGAACAUAUGUGUAAGUAACUGUGCACAUCUUGACGGCACCUAAUCAGAAAGCCACGGCUAACUACGUG
rnacentral:rRNA from 1 species